rnacentral:rRNA from 1 species
AGUGAACGCUGGCGGUAGGCCUAACACAUGCAAGUCGAACGGCAGCACAGUAAGAUCUUGCUCUUACGGGUGGCGAGUGGCGGACGGGUGAGGAAUACAUCGUAAUCUACUUUUUCGUGGGGGAUAACGUAGGGAAACUUACGCUAAUACCGCAUACGACCUACGGUUGAAAGCAGGGGAUCUUCUGACCUUGCGCGAUUGAAUGAGCCGAUGUCGGAUUAGCUAGUUGGCGGGGUAAAGGCCCACCAAGGCGACGAUCCGUAGCUGGUCUGAGAGGAUGAUCAGCCACACUGGAACUGAGACACGGUCAAGACUCCUACGGGAGGCAGCAGUGGGGAAUAUUGGACAAAGGGCGCAAGCCUGAUCCAGCCAUACCGCGUGGGUGAAGAAGGCCUUCGGGUUGUAAAGACCUUUUGUUGGGAAAGAAAAGCAGCAGGUUAAUACCCAGCUGUUCUGACGGUACCCAAAGAAUAAGCACCGGCUAACUUCGUG